rnacentral:rRNA from 1 species
AUUGUUGGCCGGUAUGAAUGGCGUCACGAAGGCCCCACUGUCUUAAGAGGACUCUCCAUGAAAUUGAAUUCGUAGUGAAGAUGCUACGUCCAUAUUGUAAGACGAAAAGACCCCAUUGAGCUUUACUAAAGACUUGCAUGGCUCAAAAUAAUUUGAUUUAAAUAAAAAGUUUAGAUAAUGUGGGACCCGUUUCCGGUUAAUGAAACACCACUCUUUUAUUUUAAGAGAGCUAACAUUACAGGGAUAGUGUAAGUUGGAUAGUUUGGUUGGGGCGACCACCUUUUAAAAGGUAACGAAGGUGAGCUUAAGGUCCGUAGUUAAUAGCCGGUGGCCUGACUGCAAGGGGGACGUCUCGAGCAGACACGUCCUUAGGGAUGUGGGACUAUAGUGACCCGUCAUCUUAGUGUGGAAUAGUUGACGA